rnacentral:tRNA from 1 species
AGCAAGGUGGCCGAGAAGUAGGUGAUGGGCUGUAAACCUGUUUACGGGAUUUUAUCCCCCUUGCUA